rnacentral:pre_miRNA from 14 species
CUACACAGACCUGUAUAUACAUACAUGUAUGUAAGUAUGCAUGCAUGUAUGUAUAGAUCUGUGUAUA